GGUGUUGUAGUUCAGAGGUAGAGUUCUUGCCUCGCACGCAUGAGGCCCUGAGUUUGAUCCUCAGCACCACUU
rnacentral:tRNA from 1 species